UGCAUUGAUGAAGAACGCAGCGAAAUGCGAUAAGUAAUGUGAAUUGCAGAAUUCAGUGAAUCAUCGAAUCUUUGAACGCACAUUGCGCCCCCUGGUAUUCCGGGGGGCAUGCCUGUUCGAGCGUCAUUACACCACUCAAGCCUCGCUUGGUAUUGGGCGACGCGGUACGCCGCGCGCCUCAAAUCUUCCGGCUGGGUCUGAAUCGUCCCUCAGCGUUGUGGAAACUAUUCGCUAAAGGGUUCGCGUUCGGUCACGCCGUUAAACAAAACCAUUUUCAUUAAAGGUUGACCUCGGAUCAGGUAGGGAUACCCGCUGAACUUAAGCAU
rnacentral:rRNA from 1 species